GAGUGGGAAUUUUUGAGCACUACUGAGGCCGUGGACUAUGCCCCAGAUAGAGUUGUCAGUGCUGACACCAGGCCAGGCCUUGAGAUAUGGUCUCAUGGCCCCUUCCCAGCACGUAGCCUUCUUUCACAGAACACUGUCAGCUUUCUGAAGAACAGGAUGACCCUUUGAAUAACAUGGUCGUCAUUGGCAUGAUCCUGACGUUGCUUGGGAAAAACUGUUUUGUCUUGGGUUACUUGUUCUGCAAAAACCGGAUGUGGUUAAUGGGCUUAAAAGCGGUCCUACACAAAGGGUCGCUGCUGCUCUCUGGUCUCCAGGCGUGGAGAAUGGCAGAGCAGUCGCCGGGUCGCCCGGCCACCCAGCUAAUAAAGGCCCCCAACCUGUGCUCAAACCCUGCUUCGGGACCCACAACCUCUGCUCUGUGUUCAGAGUAUAUUGUGGGACCGGGCAUGCCUGUACCAAUAAACCCUUUGCUUUUUGCAUAAGAGGCGACUCUUGGUGCUUUGUAAGUGCGGCCAGCGUUCCGGGCGUUACAUUUGGAGGUUCCACCGAGAUUUGCUGCAGCCGCCUUCAGGCUCCAACAGACGCUUCUUGGGUUCUUACAGGCUUUACAGUCUACCCAGAAAGCAGUCCAGAAGCAUGUAUACCAACUUCUGAUCCGGUCCAUCCUUCCACCCUGGUGACUCUGACUGACUCCUACCUGGAAAGGACCACCCCCACAGCAGUCAAGGUCGACGGGAUCCCGACGUGGCUUCAUCACAUCCAGCUUAAUUCUAUCAAGCUUAUAGUCCUCAUGGGUCAAUAUAACUCCCUCACCAACAAUGACCCAAAAGAGUCAAUGAUUUGACUCAUGUACAUAAAACCAGUGGGGAAUGUUGGAGAGUGGGAAUUUUUGAGCACUACUGAGGCCGUGGACUAUGCCCCAGAUAGAGUUGUCAGUGCUGACACCAGGCCAGGCCUUGAGAUAUGGUCUCAUGGCCCCUUCCCAGCACGUAGCCUUCUUUCACAGAACACUGUCAGCUUUCUGAAGAACAGGAUGACCCUGUGAAUAACAUGGUCGUCAUUGGCAUGAUCCUGACGUUGCUUGGGAAAAACUGUUUUGUCUUGGGUUACUUGUUCUGCAAAAACCGGAUGUGGUUAAUGUGCUUAAAAGCGGUCCUACACAAAGGGUCGCUGCUGCUCUCUGGUCUCCAGGCGUGGAGAAUGGCAGAGCAGUCGCCGGGUCGCCCGGCCACCCAGCUAAUAAAGGCCCCCAACCUGUGCUCAAACCCUGCUUCGGGACCCACAACCUCUGCUCUGUGUUCAGAGUAUAUUGUGGGACCGGGCAUGCCUGUACCAAUAAACCCUUUGCUUUUUGCAUAA